UACGUAGGUGGCAAGCGUUGUUCGGAAUUACUGGGCGUAAAGGGCUCGUAGGCGGCCAACUAAGUCCGACGUGAAAUCCCCAGGCUCAACCUGGGAACUGCGUCGGAUACUGGAUGGCUUGAAUCCGGGAGAGGGAUGCAGAAUUCCAGGUGUAGCGGUGAAAUGCGUAGAUAUCGGGAGGAACACCGGUGGCGAAGGCGGCAUCCUGGACCGACAUUGACGCUGAGGAGCGAAAGCCAGGGGAGCAAAC
rnacentral:rRNA from 1 species